rnacentral:rRNA from 1 species
AUGGCCUCCCCCGGUGAGGAAAAAAUGAAGGGUUGUCGCCCUAAACUUUUCGGUGCCAAGGAGAAGAAAUCUGCAAAGAGGACCGACAGUCCAGGCUGCAAUGCAGCACAUGAGCUUGGACCAAGUCCUUCUAAGACAGUAUCAGCUUCCCCCUUGAGAACACUUUCAGGAGUUAAGAGCAUACGUCUCAGCCAUUUCCUGGCCCAACCUUCUUCUAUUAAUAGAACAACUGAGCCCGUCAGAAUUUUUGUCUCUACCUGGAACGUCGGUGGGAAAGCACCUACUGCUGAACUGAACAUGGAUGAUUUUGUUCCACCUGAUGAUCGUUCAGAUAUUUAUGUGUUGGGUUUUCAGGAAAUUGUUCCUCUCAAUGCUGGUAAUGUGCUUGUGGUAAAGCUGCUGCCUUGUGACCAUGAGGUCAUGGGUUCAAGUCCUGGAAACAGCCUCUUACAGAAAUGUAGGGAAAGGCUGCGUACUAUAGACCCAAAGUGGUCGGACCCUUCCCUGGACCCUGCGCAAGCGGGAGCUACAUGCACCAGGUUGCCCUUUUUUAAUGCUGGUAAUGUGCUUGUGAUAGAAGACAAUGAACCAGCUGCAAGGUGGCUUGUUCUUAUAAACCAAGCACUAAACCGGCCAGCUGAUAAUGAUACCAAUGUCUUUCAGCAUCCGACAUCUCCAUCUGUUGAUUCUACUUCAUCUCGAGCUUCUUCAAGCCUUGACACUUCAUUCUCUGAAUUAACAAAAACAGCAAGUGGUUCCACAAUCUUCCAGAAAUCUUCCCUCAAAGCCAUUAGAAAACCUUUCAUGCCAAUGCAGAGAAAACGGCUUAAGGCCUGCAACUGCCCAGCAGAAAUGAUCAAAUCAUCGUACAGGGAUGCUUGCUUUCGGCGCCCGAAAAAACAUGCUGGCGAGACUGAUUCCUCAGGAGAGGAAGAGAAAGAGAACACGAGGGAUUCUUGCGGCUCUGUGCUAAGUGAAGUAACUUCCGCUCCCACCGCAAGGGAUCAGCUAAAAUAUAACCUCAUAGUAUGCAAACAAAUGGUUGGAAUUUUUGUCACUGUGUGGGUAAAGAAAGAACUAGUGCAACACAUCGGCCAUCUAAGAACGUCUUGCAUAGGGCGAGGAAUUCUGGGCUGUCUUGGAAACAAGGGAUGUAUAUCAGUAAGCAUGACAGUGCACCAGACAAGCUUUUGUUUCAUCUGCAGCCAUUUGGCUUCAGGUCAGAAAGAAGGGGACGAAUUCAGAAGAAACUCUGAUGUUCUAGAGAUAAUGCGGCUCACACUGUUUUCGAGGCUUUGCAGGAAAAUUGGGCGAAGAAUUCCUGAGAAAAUUCUUGAGCAUGAUAAGGUGAUAUGGUUUGGGGAUUUGAACUACCGUAUUGCACUGAGCUAUGAAGAUACAAAAAGGCUUUUGACGGAAAAUAAUUGGGAUGCCCUUUUCGAAAAGGAUCAGCUAAAAAUUGAACGAGAUGCCGGACGAGUGUUCAGGGGAUGGAAUGAGGGGAAGAUAUAUUUUGCUCCCACAUACAAGUACUCCUCUAACUCGGAUGCAUAUGCUGGUGAGACUGCAACAUCAAACAAAAAGAGGAGAACGCCAGCAUGGUGUGAUAGAAUAUUGUGGCAAGGUGACGGCACUUCACAGUUGUCCUACUACCGUGGAGAGUCCCGAUUUUCAGAUCAUCGUCCUGUCUGUGGAACCUUCAUUGUCGAAGUUGAGGCACUAAACAGAAAGACAAAGAGGCGCUCAUCUAAUGCUGACAUGAAAAUCGGUGCUGAAGAGCUUUUACCAACGGACAAGAAUAAGGGUAAAGAAGAACCGGCACACUGGGAUUCGUCAUGUGCCUCUCCAACACCUCCAGAUCAAAGUUCCACACCAUGGUGGCGGCGAUGCUGUUACCUGAGCAACCACGAUGUUCUUGUUAAGGCAUGA